AUUGAACGCUGGCGGCAUGCCUUACACAUGCAAGUCGAACGGCAGCACGGGAGCAAUCCUGGUGGCGAGUGGCGAACGGGUGAGUAAUAUAUCGGAACGUGCCCAGUCGUGGGGAUAACGUAGCGAAAGCUACGCUAAUACCGCAUACGAUCUAUGGAUGAAAGCGGGGGAUCGCAAGACCUCGCGCGAUUGGAGCGGCCGAUAUCAGAUUAGGUAGUUGGUGAGGUAAAGGCUCACCAAGCCGACGAUCUGUAGCUGGUCUGAGAGGACGACCAGCCACACUGGGACUGAGACACGGCCCAGACUCCUACGGGAGGCAGCAGUGGGAAUUUUGGACAAUGGGCGCAAGCCUGAUCCAGCAAUGCCGCGUGCAGGAUGAA
rnacentral:rRNA from 1 species